AAAAAAAAAAAAAAGGCUCUAACAAGUUACAUUUUUCUAAUGCAAAUACUCUAAUGGUGUAUUUGGAUCCCUUGAAUCCAAAUCCAAAUCCUUUGUUUGGGUAAGUUAAAAGAAAUGGAUUUGGAUUUGAUCCCAAAUCCGUCUUGGAUUUUAGGGGUCCAAAUUCGAUGAUUUGAAAUCCCCUCACAAACCCAAGAAAUUAGAAAUCCCUCAUCCUCACGCUCACGCUCACUUCUCAAUUCUUAAUCAGCUCCAGAAACUCUGUCACGCUCUCUCUUCCUCGCCCAAGCUUUUCUUCUUUCUCUCUUUCUCGCGACAAUACAGGUAUCCUUUUCAGCUAUCUUCUCAACGGUCAAAUUAUCAUGCGUAAUAGAGACAAAUUGAAGGAACUCCAUCAACAAUAUAUAGAACAUAGUUCAAAGUAUAACCAGGAUUAAGUCUCAAGGCAAGUUUAAAUAACUUGAGCCUGAUGUGGUCAUGCCUAAUAUGCUAGACCUCUUGUUGUACAUCUUAUUAUAUGCUUGUCUCAUAGGUCAACAAAAGAAAAAUGCAAAAAGCAGGUGCUUAUAAAAACAUAGCUAUUGACAAUUGGGAAGACAUUGAGAUCUUGUGUGGGAGGGAUAGAGCUAUUGGCAUUGGUGUAGAACAUAUGAACGAUGCAGUUGAAGUUACGACUGGAGAAGGAGAAAAUGAGGUGAAUUCUCUCAUUGCACAACAACCAUGUCAAUGUUCAUUAUCAACAAGUUCUGCAGCGGAGCCUCACAAAAUAAAAAAGGGGUAGGAAAGAUCCAUUAGUUGAAGUUGUUGCAGAUAUUGGUUCUACUCUUAUAGAGUAUUGUUACUCAUUUUUAAUUGUUAAGAACUCUAGAAUAAUUUUUUAGUUGGAUAUUUUGAAAGUUGUGAAAAAACUCAUGCAUUUGGGUUCUCUCUAUCUUGAUAUAGAACAUUUUAGUUGUCAAUAGUUGGCAUGACAUUUGAUCUUGACAAUUGGAUUAUCAAUGAAUUUUUGUUUUUCAUUA